rnacentral:rRNA from 1 species
UCGCCUACGGGGGGCAGCAGUGGGGAAUAUUGCACAAUGGGGGAAACCCUGAUGCAGCGACGCCGCGUGAGUGAAGAAGUAUUUCGGUAUGUAAAGCUCUAUCAGCAGGGAAGAAAAUGACGGUACCUGACUAAGAAGCCCCGGCUAACUACGUGCCAGCAGCCGCGGUAAUACGUAGGGGGCAAGCGUUAUCCGGAUUUACUGGGUGUAAAGGGAGCGUAGACGGUAGAGAAAGUCUGAAGUGAAAGCCCGCG